UGGGGAAUAUGGGACAAUGGGCGCAAGCCUGAUCCAGCCAUGCCGCGUGAGUGAUGAAGGCCCUAGGGUUGUAAAGCUCUUUCACCGGUGAAGAUAAUGACGGUAACCGGAGAAGAAGCCCCGGCUAACUUCGUGCCAGCAGCCGCGGUAAUACGAAGGGGGCUAGCGUUGUUCGGAUUUACUGGGCGUAAAGCGCACGUAGGCGGACUUUUAAGUCAGGGGUGAAAUCCCGGGGCUCAACCCCGGAACUGCCUUUGAUACUGGAAGUCUUGAGUAUGGUAGAGGUGAGUGGAAUUCCGAGUGUAGAGGUGAAAUUCGUAGAUAUUCGGAGGAACACCAGUGGCGAAGGCGGCUCACUGGACCAUUACUGACGCUGAGGUGCGAAAGCGUGGGGAGCAAACAGG
rnacentral:rRNA from 1 species